rnacentral:lncRNA from 1 species
UCCAACACACACACAUCUCUCUUCUUUCUCUCUCUAGAAAACUCUCUCUACCUUCUCUCUAAUUUUUCUCUCCAAACACCACUCCAUUCUCUCUUCCUCCCUCUAAGACCAUGAAAUUUUCCAGAAAACAAACUCAAGAACACUCCUCAAACUCGAAAUCUUCAUCAUCUUGUGGUAUUCUUGAAGGUAAAAUCGAUUUCUACUUCACUUUUCCUUCAAGUUUUGCUCUUUUUCUUACACUUUCUCCUUCUUCAUCUUCUUCAAACUUGUUUUCUUUUUGUUAAAAUGGUUUUUAGAACAUGAUGGAUGUAUUUUAACACCAUGCAUGUAUGAUAAACAAGGUUUCAUGUUCAUGAUCUUAAUGCAAAAAUCGAUUUUAAGGAUUAAAACAUCAAACUCAAGUUAAGAGUUUUUGAGAAACAAAAUUUUAUUCAUAAAUGCAUGUAUACAUUUUGAUAAGUUUUAAUCUUUUGAUCUCUGGAAACAUGACCAAAAUAUGAGUUUAUCAUGAUAUAUUUAAAAUACUUCAAAGGAUUUACUCAAGGAAAUGAUGAAAACUCGCUUUUCUAACCAAUCAUCAUACAUGCAAUCUGCCAGAUUUCUUUACCUGACUUUAAACUAUCAUAUAUCACUCAUUUCUUAGCCAAAAUUGGUGAUUCUUUUUCUUAAAGAUAAUAUUUUUCGUUAGCUUUCAAAAUCAUCUGACCUCACUGGAAAAUUCCAAUAUUUCGAUUUUUACCAAAUUUUACAAAACUGUUGCUCAAACAGCACUUUCCUUAUGAACAUUUGUUUUGUGUUGCAUGUUCAAAGAACUUAUUCAUCACUAAAAAUCAUUCAAAAAUUAUUUUGAACUCUUAAUAUCAUGUAUUAAUAGGAACAAAAAGAUCUUGAUUCAAAAGCCUUUGUAACAUGUUGCAAAAAUUGUCAAAAUAACAUCAAUAAUAUUUACAUAAAUUACAAGAACCAAGUUUUCUCUAUAAUUUAUUGAGUCUUUAGGCAUGGUUUUCAACAUCAAAAAUAAGAAAACAAAUUUUCAUUGUUAUCAAAUUGUAUGAAGAUGAAUUUUGGAAAUUUUCAGCUCAAUAUAUAUUUUUUUAUUUUUAUAUGAAAAUAAUAAGAAAAUAGAGUGUUAAAUCAUAUAAAAUACUUAAACUAGUAAAUAAAUUCUGGAAAAAUUCUUGGAUGAUCCUUUAAGUUAAUAAACAUCCCCAAUGAAGUUUCAAUGACUUUUGUUACUGUUUAGUAUGUUUUUAAUUUUCUUUUUAUUUAGCUCUAAUAAAUCAUAAAAGCACUUUAGGGAAUGUGAAAAUAUUAUUUCUUAUUUUUUGCAUCUUGUACCCUGUAUUUAAGACUUAGAAAAAUAUUUUGGGAAUUUUUCCAAAUGUAUAUCUAUUUUUCCAUGAUUUUUGUGUUUAUAAUGGAUUAAAAACAAGAAAAAUAGUUUUACUCAUCAAAAAUUAAUAAAAAAUUACCAGAAACUCUUAUAAUAUGUUAGGAUGAUAAAUAAAAAUUUUGAUGAUUUUUAUCUUCUGUAUACUAUUUUUAUUCUAUUUUACCAAGAUUUAAUACACUUAAAUGUACAAAAAUCAUAAUAUUGGGUUAAACAGUUUAUAAAUCCAUUUUAUAUUUUUCCCAGCUUAAGUAUGUGUAAUAAAACUUGUAAAAAAAAUAUGUGAAUUUUUGAAACUGUUAUCUAUUUAUUUCUAUUUUAUAGAAUAAAUACAUAAAAAUCAUAAAUAUUGUGUUAAACUUUUUGAAAACACAUAUUAAUAUUUUUCCCAGAUUAUAUACACUGUAAAACAGUUACACAAAAAUUAUAAGAAUUUUCAUGAUAAUUUACUAUUUUUCCAUGAUUUUAUGAUUAUUCAUGGAAUUAAAUGGUGAAAAAUAGUUAGACAAAUCAAAAAUUCAAGAAAAAUGAUCUUAAGGUCUUUAACUUCAAUUAAAACUGAAAUGAAAAGUUUGAAAAGUUUAGAACUAAAUUGAUUUAGUUUUGAAUAUUCAAUCAUUGGAACACCUCUAAAAUGUUAAAUAUUAACAUUUCAAUAAUAGAAAUUUUCCACUUAAAUUGUUAUAUAACAAUUGAUUCUUUGAAACUUAAUUUCCACAGAAAAAUAUUUGUAACUUAUCAAUAUUAAAUUUUGACACAAUAUUGACAUUAUUCUAUUGUAGUAGUAUGUAUACUAGUGUUAGAUUUCGAUUAGAGACUCAUUAGUGUGUAACAUCGUUGUAAGAAAACGAUAGUGGUACGAGUGGAGCGUAGUUCAAGACACCAUUUGCAUUAUCUCAAUGCAUUGUGAGUAUUCACGACUUCCCUUAUUUUCGGUUUUUAAAUGUUUUGGGGUGGAAAAGCAUGUCCUAAACUAUUUAUAUUCGUUGUAUUUAUUUGGCUUAUGUUUUGGGGUGGAAAAGCAUGUCCUAAACUAUUUAUAUUCGUUGUAUUUAUUUGGCUUAUGUUUUGGGGUGGAAAAGCAUGUCCUAAACUAUUUAUAUUCGUUGUAUUUAUUUGGCUUAUGUUUUGGGGUGGAAAAGCAUGUCCCGAAAAACUAUUAUUUGAAUGUUGUAUUUAAAUUGAUUUGUAUCAAACAUGAUUGCUAUUUUAUUGCUAUAUCUCUCUAUGUAUGUCUAUGCAACACGGAACAUGAGAACUUAUCGUAUUAAGGCCCUUCCCUUAUCUCUAACCAUUAACUCUUUGAGCCAAUGGUCAUUAUGGAUAGCGCUAUUAGGAAUUGACAACUCCUCACUCGCCCUAUUGCUGGAGUGCAUGAUACCAUAUUCAUCUAUGGAACGAUAAGCAUAGAUCUUGAUAGGGCUUCAGUCAUAAGUUUGGUGGACAACUCAUUAUUUGCUCAUACACAUACAAACUUGUUACUCAUUAUAGCAAUAAACUUGUUAUUUAUUAUGGCAAUAAACUUGUUUAUCAAUUAUAGUAAUCAACUUUGUUUCUCAUUAUAGCAAUGAACUUUGUUCCUCAUUACAACAACGAACUUUUAUUAUUGAAAACUUAUAUACAUGUUUUAGCAAUGAAAUUGUUUGCUCCUUGUAGCAAUGAAAUUGAUUGCUCAUUUUAGCAAUGAAACUUGUUUAAUUGUUUGACUAACGAACUUUAUCUUCCAUGAGAAUAUGAAUGUUGCAUCUUAUUCGGGCAACGUACUUUAUCUCUCAUGAUGGCAAAGAACUUUGUUUUUACAAACUUAUUUACUCCUUUUAACAAUAUACUUUUAUUAUUGGAAACUUUUAUCAAAACUUUGAUUUCAAUUCAUGAACCAAUAUUAUUUUGUUAAAAUUGUGAGUACUCACCAACUAUUUUUAUAGUUGACGCUCGUUUUACAUGCUUUUUCAGGAAUCAUCGAGUAAGUGACACUUAGGGACACUUCACUGUUAGGAGCAUUUGCAUGUGUUGUAUUCCAAUUUUCAUUGUAAUUUUUUUUAAAAGUUAUUCAAACCCAUUGUAAAUUUGUAAUGAUUUUUAAUACUAUGGUUGGUGUUGUCUUUUAACUUUUGCUAUGAAACCCUUUUUACUGUCACGCCUCGUGUUUCCGCUUUAGCGGGGUGUGACAUCUUGUUCCCUAUUGCAGACAUCACAAAGAUUUCAAUUUCAC